rnacentral:tRNA from 1 species
GAGGGUGUAGCUCAGGGGCAGAGCACGCGCUUAGCACACACGAGGUCCUGGGUUCAAUCCCCAGUCCCUCCA